rnacentral:rRNA from 1 species
CGGACGGGUGAGUAACGCGUGGAAAACCUGCCGUAUACUGGGGGAUAACACUUAGAAAUAGGUGCUAAUACCGCAUAAGCGCACAGCUUCGCAUGAAGCGGUGUGAAAAACUCUGGUGGUAUACGAUGGUUCCGCGUCUGAUUAGCUAGUUGGUGGGGUAAUGGCCUACCAAGGCAACGAUCAGUAGCCGGCCUGAGAGGGUGAACGGCCACACUGGUACUGAGACACGGACCAGACUCCUACGGAAGGCAGCAG